CAAGUAAUUGUGAGGCUCAAUUACAAAUUAAAGAUCCAAUUUAUUAUAAACAGAUUUGUGAGUACUUCAAAUUCACUAAACAUAAUUUUUUUUAUAUAAGCAUUAUGAGAUUUCACUAUGCAAUCAAGAACAUAUCUGAUAGAUGAUGGCAAUACAACUGACAACUCUCUAUUGCCUGCGUUGCAGGGUUUUCAAGCGAAAGAUCGCAAACCUACACGAAAACCAGGCCAUAUAUACUAAAACAUUCUCGAAGUUGCGACCAGAGUAGGUGACACCCAAGGGAGGAUGCUCGUGAGGGUCAAUAGUCCUUCCAACAGGAGAAGCAAUCGCUGUACACCUAUUAGUCACACUUCACAGUUCAUCCACGUAUGUCUCCUGCAUUGCAGCCCAAGGUCAUUGACUUUCGGUACGAACCUCUUUGAUAGCAUCUGACAAUAUUAUUGUUAAUCACGAAUUGAGUUUCCUUCUACCUCACAUUCCCCAAUGCUUGCACAACUAACAACGUAGAGCACUUUCAUGAAUGCCUUCUCCAUGCUUGCAGAACUAACAACGUAGAGCACUUUCAAUAGUCUCAUGAACUCAAUAGCAUCACCAGUGCCGAUUAUUUAUCAAUUGAGGGGUAAGGGCGAGGGUGUAUAAGUGCAAC
rnacentral:lncRNA from 1 species